rnacentral:rRNA from 1 species
UACAGAGGGGGCAAGCGUUAUUCGGAAUUAUUGGGCGUAAAGGGCGCGUAGGCGGCCUUUCAAGUGACGGGUGAAAUCCCCCGGCUUAACCGGGGAACUGCCUGUCAGACUGGGAGGCUUGAGACCGGGAGAGGUGAGUGGAAUUCCCAGUGUAGCGGUGAAAUGCGUAGAUAUUGGGAGGAACACCAGUGGCGAAGGCGGCUCACUGGACCGGUACUGACGCUGAGGCGCGAAAGCGUGGGGAGCAAACAGG